CCCACUCAGAUGCACCUGUAUGAACUUUGCCGCAAAUCUUAUUCGUAUUCCGUUACUGUCCAAAUUCUGAUUUUAAUGUCAUUAUGAACUUCACCACGCUCAAAACUCUUUCUAAUUAGAGCCUGGGUCCAGCUUUGCCUGACCUUGCAUUUGAGGUAGAGAAAGCCUCCAAAUAGAGGGGAUUCCAGAAGAAGAGACACCUUCAGUUCUGGCAGUGCUCAGACAUGUACCAUGGAACCAUAGCACUGGCCUUGCUGUCUUAAUUGCAUCCAUCCUGAGCAUACUUCUUGCCUGAGUGGGCUCAGACAUUGCAUCAGUGUCCUCCAGUAAUGCGACAAACUCUUCUUACACUGGCUAAUUCAAUCUAACUAUCCCUCUCAGAGGCUUAUGAUGAAGGUGGCUGCAUUACAUGUGAAGAUAUCUGUGUGAGGAUCUCAAGUCCUUUUGUCGUGAUGGGGAGAGGAAGGGAAAAAAAACGAAGCCAUGAUGAAAACUUUUGAAUCCAG